rnacentral:lncRNA from 1 species
GCAGGAUUUGUCAUCCGGAGUCAUCAGGUCUUGCAUCAAAAUCAGAGUCCAUCUCAAAGCAAAAUAACCAAAUCAAGAUAUCAAUGGACCCCACAUCUUAUCCUUUUUGGCAUCAUCAGCCAGAAAAAAAACUAGAGGUGCAGGAAAUAAAUCAAGCAGUUAAUCUCUCCCAUCUAGUCAACCAAUCUAAAUUCUAGAUAUUUUGAUGUGAGAACCCCUAAAAGGUAAGCUACAUGACUCCAAAUUGAGCAAGAUUAGAUCCUACUGAAUUUUGAGUGAAGCAAGAAAGGAACAUAAUUUACAAAAUUGAAUUUAGAUUCCAGAUGAGGUGGCUACAAUAGGUUGAAGUUGGUAACAAUGUUGGACACAACAAGAAACACCCGAUACACCC